AGUGAACGCUGGCGGUAGGCCUAACACAUGCAAGUCGAACGGCAGCACAGUAAGAGCUUGCUCUUACGGGUUGCGAGUGGCGGACGGGUGAGGAAUACAUCGGAAUCUACUUUUUCGUGGGGGAUAACGUAGGGAAACUUACGCUAAUACCGCAUACGACCUACGGGUGAAAGCAGGGGAUCUUCGGACCUUGCGCGAUUGAAUGAGCCGAUGUCGGAUUAGCUAGUUGGCGGGGUAAAGGCCCACCAAGGCGACGAUCCGUAGCUGGUCUGAGAGGAUGAUCAGCCACACUGGAACUGAGACACGGUCCAGACUCCUACGGGAGGCAGCAGUGGGGAAUAUUGGACAAAGGGCGCAAGCCUGAUCCAGCCAUACCGCGUGGGUGAAGAAGGCCUUCGGGUUGUAAAGCCCUUUUGUUGGGAAAGAAAAGCAGCAGGUUAAUACCCCGCUGUUCUGACGGUACCCAAAGAAUAAGCACCGGCUAACUUCGUG
rnacentral:rRNA from 1 species